UACGUAGGGGGCGAGCGUUGUCCGAAGUUACUGGGCGUAAAGCGCGCGUAGGCGGGGGGUUAAGUGAGAGGUGAAAGGCUGGGGCUCAACCCCAUGCAGUGCCUCUCAUACUGGCCUUCUUGAGGGCGGUAGGGAGAAGUGGAAUGGCUGGUGUAGCGGUGAAAUGCGUAGAUAUCAGUCGGAACACCGGUGGCGAAGGCGGCUUCUUGGGCCGUUCCUGACGCUGAGGCACGAAAGCUGGGGGAGCGAACGGG
rnacentral:rRNA from 1 species